AUUGAACGCUGGCGGCGGGCCUAACACAUGCAAGUCGAGCGAGCGGCGGACGGGUGAGUAAUGUCGGGGAAACUGCCUGAUGGAGGGGGAUAACUACUGGAAACGGUAGCUAAUACCGCAUACAAUCCGAUUUCGCCAGAUGGGAUUAGAUAGUAGGUGGGGUAACGGCUCACCUAGGCGACGAUCCCUAGCUGGUCUGCGAGGAUGACCGGCCACACUGGAACUGAGACACGGUCCAGACUCCUACGGGAGGCAGCAGUGGGGAAUCUUGCACAAUGGGCGAAAGCCUGACGAAGCAAUGCCGCGUGUGUGAAGAAGGCCUUCGGGUUGUAAAGCACUUUCAGCGGGGAGGCGUUAUCUGCAGAAGAAGCCCCGGCUAACUCCGUGCCAGCAGCCGCGGUAAUAC
rnacentral:rRNA from 1 species